UGGGGAAUAUUGCACAAUGGGCGAAAGCCUGAUGCAGCAACGCCGCGUGAACGAUGAAGGUCUUCGGAUCGUAAAGUUCUGUCGCAGGGGAAGAUAAUGACGGUACCCUGUGAGGAAGCACCGGCUAACUACGUGCCAGCAGCCGCGGUAAUACGUAGGGUGCUAGCGUUAUCCGGAUUUACUGGGCGUAAAGGGUGCGUAGGUGGUCUUUCAAGUCGGUGGUUAAAGGCUACGGCUCAACCGUAUUAAGCCGCCGAAACUGGAAGACUUGAGUGCAGGAGAGGAAAGUGGAAUUCUCAGUGUAGCGGUGAAAUGCGUAGAUAUUGAGAAGAACACCAGUAGCGAAGGCGGCUUUCUGGACUGUAACUGACACUGAGGCACGAAAGCGUGGGUAGCAAAC
rnacentral:rRNA from 1 species